CUGCGUUAACCAUCAUGGCCGCCCGGUAAAAUCUGUGAAAUCUUUCGCAUUCACACGCAAAAGCAGCCAUGGCAACAACUUCUCAGGUGGCAGUCCGAAUCUUGGUGGGGAAUGAAGUGAAAGAAGUGUGGCGGUUUCUUGCCAUUGACAAGCGACAUCAAUCUGCCCAAGGGCCUAGAUGUGUACAUAAAAGAUCUUGACUGUGGAGAUCAUAUUGAAAAAUUGUACUACUCAUGUGGUUAUGAACCAAUCUGUAUCUUUUGUGGUGAAAACCUGGAGGGAGUGGAUGAUGAUGAUGAUGUGUACCCUCAAUGUGAUGAUUGCCAGAAGGACCCUAUUAGGAAGAGAGGACUCUAAAUCAAGUGGUCAAUGUGGGACAAUAUCAACAAUUUGCCUUCACUUGUCUUUUUUGU